rnacentral:rRNA from 1 species
AUUGAACGCUGGCGGCAGGCCUAACACAUGCAAGUCGAACGAGUGGCGGACGGGUGAGUAAUGUCUGGGAAACUGCCUGAUGGAGGGGGAUAACUACUGGAAACGGUAGCUAAUACCGCAUACCAUCAGAUGUGCCCAGAUGGGAUUAGCUUGUGGGUGGGGUAACGGCUCACCAAGGCGACGAUCCCUAGCUGGCCUGAGAGGGUGACCGGCAACACUGGAACUGAGACACGGCCCAGACUCCUACGGGAGGCAGCAGUGGGGAAUAUUGGGCAAUGGGCGAAAGCCUGAGGGAGCAAUGCCGCGUGUAUGAAGAAGGUCUUCGGGUCGUAAAGCACUGUCGGCGGAGAGGCGUUAUCUGAAGAGGAAGCACCGGCUAACUCCGUGCCAGCAGCCGCGGUAAUAC